rnacentral:lncRNA from 1 species
GGUGGCGGAAACCUACAUACCUUCAUAAAACGCCAGAAGAAGAACGCGUGCGACGUCACGUGAUGUCCCGGAAGUAAAACAGCUUUAGAUGAUGUCAUGAAACUUGCGACAAUUGUCUGUUCUUUUCGUUUUUAAAAAAACGAUACUUAUUCAUUUAAUUUAUUUAGAUUACAUACUGUAUACAAUGAGGAUACUGUAUGUCAUUUGACCAUCAAGACCAACUCUUUGAAUGUUUAGUAUCCGGAGUCUUGUGUCGCUGAGUUUGUCUGUCAAUGGAAAGUGAAAAACACACCGAGUGGAGUUCGGCUUUAGAUGAAGACUUAAUUCAGGAUGCCGUUUCUGCUGUGAUUCCUCCGGGUCCUUCUCCAUGGAGCCUAUCAUCCGGGCCCUGGUCCACUGAGAGCAGCGUCCCAGCAGUAUUAAAUCAAUAUGCUGAAGCGCAAAAUUACAGCAGUUUUAUCCCCAGCAAUGAAACACAAAGCCAACCCGUACAGGUCUUUAGAACCUCCUAAUGAC